GUUAAGCGACUAAGCGUACACGGUGGAUGCCCUGGCAGUCAGAGGCGAUGAAGGACGUGCUAAUCUGCGAUAAGCGUCGGUAAGGUGAUAUGAACCGUUAUAACCGGCGAUUUCCGAAUGGGGAAACCCAGUGUGAUUCGUCACACUAUCAUUAACUGAAUCCAUAGGUUAAUGAGGCGAACCGGGGGAACUGAAACAUCUAAGUACCCCGAGGAAAAGAAAUCAACCGAGAUUCCCCCAGUAGCGGCGAGCGAACGGGGAGCAGCCCAGAGCCUGAAUCAGUGUGUGUGUUAGUGGAAGCGUCUGGAAAGGCGUGCGAUACAGGGUGACAGCCCCGUACACAAAAAUGCACAUACUGUGAGCUCGAUGAGUAGGGCGGGACACGUGGUAUCCUGUCUGAAUAUGGGGGGACCAUCCUCCAAGGCUAAAUACUCCUGACUGACCGAUAGUGAACCAGUACCGUGAGGGAAAGGCGAAAAGAACCCCGGCGAGGGGAGUGAAAAAGAACCUGAAACCGUGUACGUACAAGCAGUGGGAGCACGCUUAGGCGUGUGACUGCGUACCUUUUGUAUAAUGGGUCAGCGACUUAUAUUCUGUAGCAAGGUUAACCGAAUAGGGGAGCCGAAGGGAAACCGAGUCUUAACUGGGCGUUAAGUUGCAGGGUAUAGACCCGAAACCCGGUGAUCUAGCCAUGGGCAGGUUGAAGGUUGGGUAACACUAACUGGAGGACCGAACCGACUAAUGUUGAAAAAUUAGCGGAUGACUUGUGGCUGGGGGUGAAAGGCCAAUCAAACCGGGAGAUAGCUGGUUCUCCCCGAAAGCUAUUUAGGUAGCGCCUCGUGAAUUCAUCUCCGGGGGUAGAGCACUGUUUCGGCAAGGGGGUCAUCCCGACUUACCAACCCGAUGCAAACUGCGAAUACCGGAGAAUGUUAUCACGGGAGACACACGGCGGGUGCUAACGUCCGUCGUGAAGAGGGAAACAACCCAGACCGCCAGCUAAGGUCCCAAAGUCAUGGUUAAGUGGGAAACGAUGUGGGAAGGCCCAGACAGCCAGGAUGUUGGCUUAGAAGCAGCCAUCAUUUAAAGAAAGCGUAAUAGCUCACUGGUCGAGUCGGCCUGCGCGGAAGAUGUAACGGGGCUAAACCAUGCACCGAAGCUGCGGCAGCGACGCUUAUGCGUUGUUGGGUAGGGGAGCGUUCUGUAAGCCUGUGAAGGUGUACUGUGAGGUAUGCUGGAGGUAUCAGAAGUGCGAAUGCUGACAUAAGUAACGAUAAAGCGGGUGAAAAGCCCGCUCGCCGGAAGACCAAGGGUUCCUGUCCAACGUUAAUCGGGGCAGGGUGAGUCGACCCCUAAGGCGAGGCCGAAAGGCGUAGUCGAUGGGAAACAGGUUAAUAUUCCUGUACUUGGUGUUA
rnacentral:rRNA from 1 species